CAAAUCAGGUAGGAUUACCCGCUGAACUUAAGCAUAUCAAUAAGCGGAGGAAAAGAAACCAACAGGGAUUACCUUAGUAACGGCGAGUGAAGCGGUAAGAGCUCAAAUUUGAAAUCUAGCACUUUCAGUGUUCGAGUUGUAAUUUGAAGAAGGUAUCUUUGGAGUUGGCCCCCGUCUAUGUUCCUUGGAACAGGACGUCACAGAGGGUGAGAAUCCCGUGCGAUGGGGAGACCAAUUCUAUGUAAAGUUCCUUCGAAGAGUCGAGUUGUUUGGGAAUGCAGCUCUAAGUGGGUGGUAAAUUCCAUCUAAAGCUAAAUAUUGGCGAGAGACCGAUAGCGAACAAGUACAGUGAUGGAAAGAUGAAAAGAACUUUGAAAAGAGAGUGAAAAAGUACGUGAAAUUGUUGAAAGGGAAGGGCUUUUGAUCAGACUUGGUAUUUAGUACUCUUCGCCCCUUGUGGGUGGGGCUCUUGCUUUAUGCUGGGCCAGCAUCGGUUUGGAUGGUAGGAUAAUGGCAUUGGAACGUGGCUCCACUUGUGGAGUGUUAUAGCCCUUGCUGAUACUACCUAUCUAGACCGAGGACUGCGUCUUUGACUAGGAUUCUG
rnacentral:rRNA from 1 species